rnacentral:rRNA from 1 species
AGAGUUUGAUCAUGGCUCAGAACGAACGCUGGCGGCAGGCCUAACACAUGCAAGUCGAACGCUCGUAGCAAUACGAGAGUGGCAGACGGGUGAGUAACACGUGGGAACCUUCCCUAUGGUUCGGAAUAGCUCAGGGAAACUUGAGGUAAUACCGGAUAAGCCCUUACGGGGAAAGAUUUAUCGCCAUUGGAUGGGCCCGCGUCGGAUUAGCUAGUUGGUGAGGUAACGGCUCACCAAGGCGACGAUCCGUAGCUGGUCUGAGAGGAUGAUCAGCCACACUGGGACUGAGACACGGCCCAGACUCCUACGGGAGGCAGCAGUGGGGAAUAUUGGACAAUGGGCGCAAGCCUGAUCCAGCCAUGCCGCGUGAGUGACGAAGGCCUUAGGGUUGUAAAGCUCUUUUGGCGGGGAAGAUAAUGACGGUACCCGCAGAAUAAGCUCCGGCUAACUUCGUGCCAGCCGCCGCGGUAAUACA